UUCAUCCCCACAUAGGCCCACUCCACAAGGACCCCAAUGAAGGAGGCUCGUGUUGACGGCGAGCCAGAAGGGGGCCCUGCAGGCAUUCUUCCAGGAGAACCCUUACCUUGGCAUCUCUGCCAGAGAACACCUGGACCGGGAGCUGGCCAUCACCGAGUCCAGAAUCCAGUGGAGAGGAAGGUUGUACAUGGGUCCAUUUGUGAGGAGAAUGACACCCGUUUCCAGUGUCUUCUCGGGUCAGUCAAAAUCUCCUCAGCACCCUACAAGUGACUGCAGCAGGAACUCCAUUGUCUGCCCAUGCCGACGAACAAAGAAGAAAUGACUCUUGUCCCCACACCGUCUGUUGUGUGUUUCGCAACAGCUCCCGCUCCUUGGGUCUGUUUCCAAAACCAGCGAACAAGACAGCUAAGGCAGAGCCACCAACUGGGCUCCACAAUUCCCCAAGGAGAAGGACCACAGCCUGGAAAGGAACAGCGUGAACAGGACAGUCACCUCCAGGUGACUCCUCAGUAUCCAAGAAGGGUCUCUUCCUGAGCUGCUACUUGACACAGGAAUGUGUCUCUGUGUGCUUACCAGGCAGUAGCAAAACCUGAGGAAGGGCACCAAGCUCUUCCCUCAGGCUAGAGCCACCCUAGUGACCUAGGAUGGCGAUGUUGUGCCUGCCAUUCCUGGACAGGCGGCAGGCGAGCAAUUCUGGGCCCCGAGGGAUCUGGGUCUUCCUGUCUUAAACCUGCUAGCCAGGACUACAGGCCUCUUCUUCCAUCAACACAACAUUGUUAUCCAAACACUGGCUUCUGGGGGUAGGUACAGGCUCUGGCUCCUUGGCCUCAGGGAAUGAGUGGUUAUGAAGACAGAGAACAUGGAGAAAAGCUCACACACACAGACAGACACACACACACACACAGAGGAAGUCACACGCCAUCACACACACCCUGACACCCACUUCUGUCUCCACACUGGCUGUGCUAUUAGCAUCCAUGCCCUCCUCCAAACUUCUUCUCUCUUUAGGUCGAGUCCCAAAGGAAGGCA